UUUCUACCAAAAAAAAAAACUGAGGUUAAGGGAUUUUAUUUUAAAAAAUUAAAGUUGAGUAACUGAAAUAAAAUAACCACAUAAGUUUAGGGACGGUGCAAUUUACCCUAUUAUUUUGGGACAACUUAUCCCACACAAGCAAAAAAAUUAGAUCUUUAACCUUUCAUUAUCUCCUUAACAAAUCAGAUAAGGAUUGUUUAUGUGUAACAAUCAAAAAGAUGGGUAGAAAUCUAUCUCACAGAUAGCAUAAUAUGUUCCUUGCAUGUCUCAGCUAUUAAUGACAAUAUCUUGUGAGACACAAAUCAUUAAUCCAUGACGUGACAGUAAUGGCUUACAACAGCCUAAAUGUAUGCAACCACAUAAUUGACACUAUUCAUGGUAUAGAAGGUCCAGGAUUUAAGAAGAGCACACCAAAUUGGAGACCAUAAGGAACGAUAUGACACAUAAAGAAAAUGGUCUGGAGAGAUCUAAAUGCAAAGAUUUGAUCAUCUUCAAUCCCAUAUUCUUAGGACCAUAUGUCACAAAGUAAUGUCCACUUAUCGGGAAAGUAAUGUCCAACACAAUCAACUCAUUUUAGUGGUCCUAGACACAAGUCUAAUGGAGCAUGGUAACAGCAUGUUUGUAAAAGGCAUGCAAAGCUGGUUCUAACGCACAGACAAGUAUUGGGCACAUGUCCACAUGUCCAAUCAUGAGAAUCUAAGUUGGGAGCUUUAUUAACUUUAGGGUCUGUUUGGCAUUAUUGUUG
rnacentral:misc_RNA from 1 species